GCCGGGAUAGCUCACUUGGUAGAGCAGAGGAC
rnacentral:tRNA from 1 species